rnacentral:rRNA from 1 species
AUUGAACGCUGGCGGCAUGCUUUACACAUGCAAGUCGAACGGUAACGCGGGGCAACCUGGCGACGAGUGGCGAACGGGUGAGUAAUGCAUCGGAACGUGCCCGGUAGUGGGGGAUAACUGCUCGAAAGAGCAGCUAAUACCGCAUACGACCUGAGGGUGAAAGGGGGGGAUCGCAAGACCUCUCGCUAUUAGAGCGGCCGAUGUCGGAUUAGCUAGUUGGUGGGGUAAGGGCCCACCAAGGCGACGAUCCGUAGCUGGUCUGAGAGGACGACCAGCCACACUGGGACUGAGACACGGCCCAGACUCCUACGGGAGGCAGCAGUGGGGAAUUUUGGACAAUGGGGGGAACCCUGAUCUAGCCAUGCCGCGUGUGUGAAGAAGGCCUUAUGGUUGUAAAGCACUUUAAGCGAGGAGGAGGCUCUUUUGGUUAAUACCCAAGAUGAGUGGACGUUACUCGCAGAAUAAGCACCGGCUAACUCUGUGCCAGCCGCCGCUGUAA